AAGCCCCGCCCCCUGAGCCCGGAUCUCCGCGGGCCGGCGCACCUCUCCCCCUCAGCGCUCGCCACCUCCCGCGGCCGCCUCGGCGCCAGCUCUGGGCUCCGGCCUGAGGGCGCCGGGGUCCCGCGGCGCUGCCCGCCCCGCCAGGUUUUCAGCCCGCCGCCGCCUGAGGCGAGAGGUAGCCAGCCUGUCACGCUCGGGGGACCAAACCCGUCCGCAUCCCCAGGGACCCUCGCGCUGUGUCCCCAAGGCGUCCCCAGGGUGCAAAGGUGGUUGGACAGGGGACAUUUUUAAUUUACAGCGCGCCCCGCCGGGGUACAUGGGGUGCAGAGACACACCCCCCCUUCGGGACAGAGUGGCUGUCCCCUCCUUGAAGGGACGGAGGCUCCGGUCCAGGCCAGAGGUGCCGGAUCUUCGGAGCAAUCUAUGCUAAUGAGGGUAGUGGCCAUCCGGCCGGAGGUUGCUGCUGGCCGGGAGGGGCUUCCCGGGCACUGCCCUGCGCCAAUCCGAGCGCCAGGCUCCGGGAAGGUCGGAAUGUUUGCUUACCUUUUCACCUCUGAGGUAGUGGCGGUUUUAACCCUGUCCGCGGCCUCCCUGGCGGAGCACGCUGUGGGAAGGUUGAAUGCCCACACUGUAAGAAGCUGACAAGACUCCAUUUCAUUCCGGGGUCCUCGUUUUGCAGAUGGAGAAACUGAGGCCCAGAGAAAGUCACCCAGGUCCAUCUAUGGUGUUGCAAAAGGCAAAGACCGUGUCUCUUAAGUGGAGAAAGCAGAAGGAGAACCUUCCCUGUCUUCCUAGCAUCCAGAUGGGGCUCCAGGAGGGUUGUGGCGCCCAGGCUGCCUCUUCCACACAAGUCCCAGCCAUGCUGACACGCAAGCCUGUCUGCAGUGUCGCUGAGCCAGCUGUUGUUCCCUCCACCUCAGUAGCCAUCCUGAUGAGUGUGAACCUGUUCUUUAUCAGGAGGCUGUAUUUCUGGAACUGCUUAGCGUGAUCUCUAACCACCCGCUGGAAUUGAGCAAUGGGGAAAGCAGAGAGCAUCAUGCUUCGGGCAGAUGACCUGCUAACCUCGACAGAGAGCUAUCCUAAUUCCGUCCUUGACUUUGUGACUGGGCAGGUUGCACCACCUCCGAGUUUCCAUCUGCCCACUGGGGACCAGGCCUUCUCGAUGACAAUCUCCUCCCUCCUCUGCCCUGAUGUUUCUUCCUGGAAAAAGGCAGGAAGCGAGAGAUGGGAAAUGACUUGUUAGGUAUGCAUCUUAAUCUUAGUAGCCAUCACCCCAGUGCAUUUUUUCCCUUUCUGUAUAACAAUAAUUCAUGCUUAGUUGUUUAAAAUAAGGUAACUCAGAAAAGCAUUAGAAGCAAGGAAGUAUUUGUCUAUCAUUUCGUCACCUGGAGGCAACCUCUGAUGACACACUGGUCUGUUUCUUAUAGUUAGUUCUUUAAGGAAGGCAAAUUUUUUUCAUCCUGGAGAGUCCCUCUUUCUCUAAAGAAGAACUCCUUUCACAGCAGUCGGUAGCAACAUUAACUGAGCUCUCAAUUUCUUAAAUAUAUCUUCCUUUGUGCUAUUCACUCCUUCAGUGUGUCACUUUGAGUGAAAAGCAACUAAUUACAGUGGAAAUGCUGCUUGGAGACAGCUUAUGAAAUUAUGUUAAUAUGUAUUGAGGAAAAGAAAGGAAGGGGAAAGGGAGCUGAUGGGCAAAACCACCAGCUUAUUUAAAUGGAUAAUUUUCUCUCCUUUCAAGUCUCAGAGUUUAGGGUCACUAUAUUUCUGAAAGGACUAGAAAGUGAUUAUUGUAGUUUUAUUUUGUCAAAAUCCGUAAAACUCAACUGAAAAGCAAAGUUGAUAAACUAGCAAAAAGAAUGACUUUGGUAAAUGUAAUGUAAAACUUUUUUUUUUUUUUAAGAACACUUUUAUAUCAGUACAAGGAAAAAAAA